rnacentral:tRNA from 1 species
AGGAGUGUAGUUUAAUCGGUAAAAUAUAAAGCUUCACGUUUUAGAUUCUUAGUUCGAAUCUAAGCACUCCUA